CUCAAAUAGGCUCAUAUAUGCAUAAAAUGAUGAAUGAAAGAACUUCCAUUGAUUAAAUUUGAUCAGAGGUUGAGAUUGCUUCAUGGGCAAGGCACAGUCAAAGCAUAGUGAAAUUAGGGUUUCCUUGGGAAACAAUCUUCAAGCCCUUUGGGUUAUCUUGAUCAAAUUGACAAAUUGAGAUACUUGGGAGACAUAUAUGAUGAUUAGGAACUUUUUG
rnacentral:lncRNA from 1 species